rnacentral:lncRNA from 1 species
GGGUCUGUGUGCACGUGCUGGGUGAAGCCAGAAGUACCUUCUGAAUACCCACAACCUCCCGCCAGCGGAUGAUGCUUCCAUCCAGUUUGAGAGGAGCGUGUCUGUGGUGACACCAGGAUUGCAGUGGAUUUCACUGGACUGAUGCACUGUUGGGCCUGUGGGGCUGAAACAAUUCCUCGUUGUUCUCAAGUCUCACUUUGCCGCCCUGCAGUUACCCAGAGAUGGGUUUUGGUUUCCUGAGUGGACUUCCUGGAAUCGAGUGCCCUUACUUUCCUUGUUCAAAAGGGGUUUCUAAACUGUUACAUCUCUGUGAACUCUGAUUUUCACUUACAGUUUUUGUGCAAUAGAACAAAGCUGGGUUUGCUCUAGGACAUCCCUAAUGUAAGCGCCAAGGAUAUUUCCAGCACUGUUCCUUCAUACCGGUAGCUCUUUCCCUGCUUCCGUUUCCAGCAGCAGGAAUAAAGCAAUUUUUCACUUCUCUCUUUUUAUUUGUACUAACUUGAUACGGGACUGAAGUAGCACGUUCAUAUCAGCAAACAAAAGUGCCCCCACUCUGGUUUCACUGAAGGAUCCAAGAAGUGGGAAUUUGUGCCGUUGGCUGGUUCUUCUCAUUUGCGUGUCAUGAAGUCCUUUGAGUAGUUUGUUCUCACAUCUUGUCCCUGUGAACUGAUCCGAUACUCUCUUUAUCCAGUCUUCUCUCAGCCAAACUUACUUACUGUCCCUUGGUGUCUGUGUCUUCCUGGAGGCUGGCCUUGAUGUUGGAAAAUGGAGCGAAAGCAGCCAGGAAGGGAUCCGGAACCGCUUGGGAUCCCCCCUGCUGUGGUCACGUUUGCACAACACUGGCAAACUACAGCGUAGCAUAGAGUAGAACAAGUAACUGUGGCAUGUAGAGAAGUGAGCAACAUCCUUCGUGUGUUUAUACUGUUGUGCAGUUACGUUUUAAACCUGUUUCUAGUGGUCACUUGACAUUUCGUACUGUCUAGCCACCGUUUUACAGCCCUUGGCUUGGUGGUCCGUUUGUUUAAACGAUCAAUAUCUCAUUUUUGUGGUAGGAUACCUUGGAAAAGUGGUUUUUUACUUGGCUCGCGUGACUGCAGCCCCUCUACACAGGCAUACAUUUUGUCUGCCUUGAUGCAGUUGCAGGAUUUGGGCCUUUUGUUUGGAAUAGGUAAAUAGGCUGGUAUUUUAAAAUAGAAGUUUUCAGAGUACCUUGCUUUCAAAGGAUUAAACUGUAUUAAUAGAGGUGGUGGACGCGCUCUGUACUGUUUGUAUGAAAUAAGCUGAAUGUUCCUCCUCAAAGUUGUCAGUAAAGCAAGGUGAAGCCUCACGAGGUGGUGUCUGGUGCCCCGUCGAUGUGUCUGUGUUCUCGAUGCUCCUCAUGCCCAGAUUCAGUUAUAAGAAGCAGUUCCGAUGACCUUGUGCUUUAAAUAAAACCUGAUUUCAAGCCGCA